GAGGGUAUAGCUCAGUGGUAGAGUGACUGCUUAGCAUGCAGGAGGCCCUCGGUUCAAUCCCCACUACCUCUG
rnacentral:tRNA from 1 species